UCCUUACUGUAUUCCUGACCAAGUUUGUCUUCCAGCUGGUGAAAUCUCAAGGCAUAGACACAGGUAUUAUCAGCCAGUGUGGGUGUUUUCAGUAGUCAUCCAAGAAUGCUCCUAAAUAUUUUUAAAUUAUCUAUUUUUUGUGUGUGAUUCAGUUAUGAAAUAAAUUUUAUUCAUUUACUUAAAUAUAUUUUUUUCAUAGAUUAGAAGUUGACAUACAUCCACAGGAUAACAUUUAGAAGAGGACUGUCAUUCAAUCCACAAGCUUUACUGAACACUGACAGUGAGCCCUGUAGUAUGCUCUGGCUUGGCUGUGGGAGAGGAGUUAGGGCCAAGUUAUUAAGUAUUUAAGGAAUAAAAAGGCCCAAGGUUAUUUGGAAUUCUUGUGAACAAUUCUUAUAAAACCUUUGAAUUUCUAUUGGAUUCCAGGCCCACUUUAUGAAAUGCCUACAGCCUAAAUGCAUUGAUAUUUAAUGCUACUCUUCAGAUCUAACAGUAUUCCAAACAAAAAUUCAUCAUCAUGCAUCGAGCAGAAAGGGGAUCAUGUUUUCUUUUGUCUUUUUUCUUUAAAGAAAGAAAUGAUUUCCUAGAAGUUUGCUGCAGACUUCCUCUGUGUCUCAUUGGUAAGAACUGGGCCCCAUUCUAAUUCCUUAAUCAAAUCAAGGUGAAUUAGAUGAAUCUGGAAGAGAAUGCAAUGGAUGUUGAAGAAUCAGUAAAUAUGGAAACUACAAUAACUCAAAUCUAUUUAGGUAUAAGGAAAGACUAAUUUUUUCUAG
rnacentral:lncRNA from 1 species